GUAAAGGCCUACCAAGGCGACGAUCUGUAGCGGGUCUGAGAGGAUGAUCCGCCACACUGGGACUGAGACACGGCCCAGACUCCUACGGGAGGCAGCAGUGGGGAAUAUUGGACAAUGGGGGCAACCCUGAUCCAGCAAUGCCGCGUGUGUGAAGAAGGCCUUCGGGUUGUAAAGCACUUUUGUCCGGAACGAAACGUGCGGGGUGAAUAGCCUCGUAAACUGACGGUACCGGAAGAAUCAGCACCGGCUAACUUCGUGCCAGCAGCCGCGGUAAU
rnacentral:rRNA from 1 species